AUACUUACCUGGCAGGGAAGAUACAAUGGUCAUGAAGGUGGUUUUCCCAGGGAGAGGCUUAUCCAUUGAACCCCGGAUAUGUUGACUCCUGUGAUUUCCCUAAAUGUAGGGAAUUCGGCUGUAUAAUUUGUGGCUGUGGGACACUGCGUUCUCACUCUCCCCUA
ensembl:snRNA U1 U1 spliceosomal RNA